GGCACUUAUGUGUGCUUCUGUUUUAACUGGUGGUUUAAAACUUAAUGGGCAGGUGGAAAAAAUAAAUUAUUUUGUAAACCAAAGCCCAUUUUUCAGUAUGAGUUUUUUUUUGUAUAAGAGGGAAUAUU